rnacentral:lncRNA from 1 species
UGGAGAAUGUACAUCCUCUGGAAAGGGCGGAGUUAAAAUAUGAUUCUGAAUAUUUAGCUCAGGCAAAGCCUUUCUCGUGAAGAUGGACCUUCUGUAUUUGAAGUGGCAGUGGGAAGAGCAGAGCUAGGGGCUUCACUGGCGUGGAAGCUAUUUCCCCAGCUUUCCGUCACCUCCCUCCAUACCAUGUGUUGGCACUGUUGGCCAAUUGAGUCACCGAGAGUGACACUUCAGUAUGGGUGAUGAGGGCAAAGAGAGCAAGUGCUUCUCAACAUGGCUGCACAUUGGGAAGGGUCUGGAAAGCUUGAGGAAAUCCUGAUGCUGGGGCCCACCCCUAGACAUGCCGCCAUCACUGGUUUGAGGUGUGGUCCAGAUGUUCAUUGGCAUUCCCUCCUGACACCAACCCCAUCCUUCCUCCCCCACCUCAUCUUUGACCAUCAGACUUCACAAGGUGAGGUCCACACUUCCACCAAGCCCAGUUUAUUCUUACUUUCUAAAUGCUUUAUAAAUUUCAAUUUUCUAGUUUCUGAGUGUUAGGGUUUGGAUAUGAGGUAUGGCCCCCAAAAGCUCAUGUGCUAAUGUGGCAUGUUCAGAGCUGAAAUGAUUAGAUCAUGAGAGUUGAAACCUGAUCCGUGAAUUGGUCCAGUUGAUGGAUUAACGAAUCAAAAGGACAACUGUACAAAGCAGUAGCUGUAGGCAGGUGGGCAUGGGGGUGUGACCUUGGAGGUUCUAUAUGCUCCUCAUGUGCAUGUACGUUCUCUCUCUCUCUCUCUCUCUCUCUCUCUCUCUCUCUCUCCUCUUCCUCUCUGUCAUGAGCUGAGCAGCUUUCCUCUGCCAUGACCUUCUGCAAUGAUGUUUUGCCUCACCUCAGACCCAGAGCAAUGGAGCCAGCCGAACAUAGACUACACCUCUGCAAACAAGAGCCCCAAAAUAAACAUGAUCCUCCUCUAACUUGUUCUUGUCGGGUGUUUUGUUCCCAGCGAUGAUGAGCUGACUGACACACCUAGUUCACAGUCAGUAAGCAGGCACCCUGUUCUGCACCCUGUUCCUCAAGUGCCUAAGAAGACUGGAGCUGGGACAAGCUCAAAGUCACACUCAAGGACAUCACUGUGGUAUAGAACAGACCUCUUCAGCCGAGGAUUGUUUUUAACAAUGACCAAUCGUCUACAUUAUCAGUUGACCAUUAUCAGUUGACUUGGAAAAUACACACUUCACUUUCAUAUAAAAUGAAGUUGGUUGAUUUAUUUUGAAUAUUUGGUGAUGGCUGGUUGUCAUGACAAGAAUGCAUGUUAUCUACUCUAAAGGGGAAGCCCUCUCUACCAGUGAAGGUGAAUCCAUUCAUCUGCCAGAGUUGCUGGGUGUCAACAGGCAGAGCUCCAUGGAGAGGGUGGACCUAGGCUGGAGCACAUGGGAGGUGCCACCUAGACAAGGCCAAGGAAGGGAAGGGAACAGUCUGUUCACAUCCCGCCUUCCUGUCCCUCAGAGUCAGAAGCACUGAGAAUUCAGACAGGAGGCCUCCUUGGCUACUUGGGUUUAGAGAAUCUCAAUGGGAUUUAU